UGGUGUUGCUGAUGACGAUGUUUGUGACCCCAUUGUCCGUCUCCGCUUCUCGUCCAGGUCCUCACGGGUGUCCACCAGCACCUGAGCAGGCCAAGGCAGGAAAUUGCUACCUUGAAAAUGGAUUGGAUGGUUGAAUUUGUGUGCCACAUUCAGGGCUUAAGACACUUCUAUGGUAGUCUUAAUCUGCUUUCAACAAUAGG
rnacentral:rRNA from 1 species